AACGAACGCUGGCGGCAGGCUUAACACAUGCAAGUCGAGCGCCCCGCAAGGGGAGCGGCAGACGGGUGAGUAACGCGUGGGAAUCUACCGAGCCCUAAGGAAUAGCUCCGGGAAACUGGAAUUAAUACCUUAUACGCCCUUUUGGGGAAAGAUUUAUCGGGGUUUGAUGAGCCCGCGUUGGAUUAGCUAGUUGGUGGGGUAAAGGCCUACCAAGGCGACGAUCCAUAGCUGGUCUGAGAGGAUGAUCAGCCACAUUGGGACUGAGACACGGCCCAAACUCCUACGGGAGGCAGCAGUGGGGAAUAUUGGACAAUGGGCGCAAGCCUGAUCCAGCCAUGCCGCGUGAGUGAUGAAGGCCCUAGGGUUGUAAAGCUCUUUCACCGGUGAAGAUAAUGACGGUAACCGGAGAAGAAGCCCCGGCUAACUUCGUGCCAGCCGCCGCCGUAA
rnacentral:rRNA from 1 species